GACGAACGCUGGCGGCGUGCUUAACACAUGCAAGUCGAACGGAAAGGCCCUGCUUUUGUGGGGUGCUCGAGUGGCGAACGGGUGCGUAACACGUGAGUAACCUGCCCUUGACUUUGGGAUAACUUCAGGAAACUGGGGCUAAUAUCGGAUAGGAGCUCCUGCUGCAUGGUGGGGGUUGGAAAGUUUCGGCGGUUGGGGAUGGACUCGCGGCUUAUCAGCUUGUUGGUGGGGUAGUGGCUUACCAAGGCUUUGACGGGUAGCCGGCCUGAGAGGGUGACCGGCGACAUUGGGACUGCGAUACGGCCCAGACUCCUACGUUAGGCAGCAGUGGGAAAUAUUGCACAAUGGGCGGGAGCGUGAGACAGAAACGCCGCGUGCGGAAUGACGGCCUUCGGGUUGUAAACCGCUUUCGCCUGUGACGAAGCGUGAGUGACGGUAAUGGGUAAAGAAGCACCGGCUAACUACGUG
rnacentral:rRNA from 1 species